rnacentral:rRNA from 1 species
UAGUCCACGCCGUAAACGAUGAGUGCUAAGUGUUGGAGGGUUUCCGCCCUUCAGUGCUGCAGCUAACGCAUUAAGCACUCCGCCUGGGGAGUACGACCGCAAGGUUGAAACUCAAAGGAAUUGGCGGGGGCCCGCACAAGCGGUGGAGCAUGUGGUUUAAUUCGAAGCAACGCGAAGAACCUUACCAGGUCUUGACAUCCUCUGACAACCCUAGAGAUAGGGCUUUCCCCUCGGGGACAGAGUGACAGGUGGUGCAUGGUUGUCGUCAGCUCGUGUCGUGAGAUGUUGGGUUAAGUCCCGCAACGAGCGCAACCCUUGUCGUUAGUUGCCAUCAUUCAGUUGGGCACUCUAGCGAGACUGCCGGUGACAAACCGGAGGAAGGUGGGGAUGACGUCAAAUCAUCAUGCCCCUUAUGACCUGGGCUACACACGUGCUACAAUGGACGGUACAACGAGCAGCGAACUCGCGAGGGCAAGCGAAUCUCUUAAAGCCGUUCUCAGUUCGGAUUG